GACGCGUCAGCGCCGAAGGCAGGAGCGGGGGACCCAAGGUAGGUGCCGAGUGGCCUGUGGACACGGGCUUGUCGGCUAGGGGUGAAGCCGGGCGCGACCAUCGCGACCGGCCGGGCAACUCACGUCCGAACCCGACAGCUCACCUCGUAGGCGUCGGUGAGGAAACGA
rfam:Streptomyces autolyticus strain CGMCC0516, complete genome.